UUGACAACGAAAGUCGAAAACGUACUUAUCGUACUACUUGCUGUGAUUUUCACCACAUUUAAUUUUCUUGUUCGAAUUGUACUGCUAUUAUGGCUGACAGCGCAGUUUCGACCAUCGCAAAGCCUCAGAUGCGAGGGCUUCUUCACAAUGUUAUCAAGCGAAACUUAAUUGUCGCGAUUGCCUUAUCCGCAGCAUGUGGAUUCUCAUACAAAAUUUUUGUUGCCAAUGUUCGCAAGAGGAAGUACGCUGAAUUCUACAGAACCUAUGAUGCUGAGAAGGAAUUCGAAGAAAUGCGCCAGAAGGGUCUUUUCCAAUCCUGCUAAAUUAGUCUGUGGUUAUGUAGUUGUAUUAAUUUGCUGUGUAUAAUGUAAUUUAAAAAUAAAAUGAAAUCAAGAAGUGUU